UUUCUUUAACGUUUCUUCUUCCUCUUCUCACAAAAACACAAUCUUCCUCUCUCUCACAAAAUCAUUCCUCCAAAUAAAGAUAGAAAACAAAACAAAGAUGAAGGAACCUCAAAUCUCAACCCACAGUGACCAAUCCAACCGGAAAACUCCACCUCUUCGACACAACCGCACCCACCGGUUCAAAUCUGGAAGGGAAAAAGCAGAUUCGUCACCUCACAAAAAGAAGCUUCGUCGACGCCGACAUCUCAACUGCGCGUUUGCUCCACUGCUACCACCGCUCCCCGAUCUGAAUCGCUGAUGAAAUCGUUGAUGUGGCCACAUUCAGGUCCACCACCGCCACUGUAGCUCAGCCGAUCGAACCCUCUGUCACGCAUCAACCUUUUGAUCCCAUAAGCGCGGCGCACACGACGCACAGCCUCCCACAACACCGUCAAUCCGCAAGCCACUUCUGACGUCGCGCAACAAGCUUCCACCACCACCUCAUAGCUCAUCGACUUCUCAACCCAAGCAGGUAGAUCCAUUCCACUUCUUUUACAUUUUUGCUAGAUGAAAAUAUUUGAUUGUUUGUGUAUUUGAAAGACAUAAGGGAGGAGAUGCAAAGAUGAAGAGAACGUGCAUCUGUGUUUCACGUCUGAAUUUUUAUGUGUGAUAGACUUUGUUUUGUUUUCUAUCUUUAAUGCCUUGCCAAAUGUUGCAUAUUCAACAUGUUGCUGUGAAUUUGUUUUUGGCUAUAUUUAUAUUGUGUUAUUGUACACCACUGAUACUCUAUAAAUUGUGCUUGUGCCGAUUCGUUCCGAGAGUUUUAGAUGUCUAUACCAGGAAAUUAAUUUUUAGUUAGGCUUAGAGAAGGCGAUGUUGUUCAUGACCUAAUCAAGACCAGAUUCCUUUGUGGACUCGGUUUGCUUUCGAAUCAAACCAAGAUUCUAGCAAUUCACAGAAACGCCUGUUCCGACGUCGUUUCUCAAGCGCGCCUUCGAUCCUUUCACCUUUACGCAGGAGCUGUUUCCAAACUUCGCGGUGGAAAUUCAAAUGUGAAAUAUGCUUGGUAUGGAACUUCCUCUGAGAAUGACGUAAGAGACAUUCUUUCAAACGGUUUUAGUCACGUCCACGGUCAUAGCCUGUGCCUCUCUCUAGAUGAUUCUCCUCUCCAAAGUGUUAAAAGUUGCUUUGUUGGAAGAGAUGGUGUGAGGCAUUUGAUUUUGUGUAGGGUGAUUUUAGGAAGAACGCAGAUUGUGAAACCUGACACAAAACAAUGUUAUCCGAGCUAUGAGGAUUAUGAUUCUGAUGUGGAUAGUUUUUCAGCUCCAACCAAGUACGUGAUUUGGAGUAGUAGAAUAAAUACUCAUGUUUGGCCUGCAUAUGUUAUAAGCUUCAGGGUUCCUUCAUUCAAAGGAGACUUAGGGAGAAGAAUGAAGCUGUAGAGCCUGAGGCAGAUCCAGAAAGGGAUCAAAGAAUUGUUUUUGCCUAUUAGGUUAUUUGGUUGGCUCUGUUAUGUUUUUGUCUUGGUGAAGUGGGUGUCAAGCGCAUUUCGAAGGUUCUCUGCGGUGCUGGAAAGGAACUUCAAGGUAUUGUUUUGGAACACCUCCAGCCCGCUGCAGAAGUUAUGGGAUUCAGAAUGGGAGAACUAAGAGGUCUUUCAAGAUGGCGUGCACGAUAUCAUGGCAUUGGCUUGGAUCAAUGACUCAUAAGCAAUGCAACAGAAAAGGCUGGUAUGAUACUUGUUCAAGUUGAACGAUUUAUGAGGGUUCUUUCAUCUGUCUUGCAGCAGUAUUCAAACUUCUUCAAAUGGCUAUUAAAGUGUAUAAAAUUACUCAUGUCAGAACCAAGCGACCAACUUCUUCCAUAUAGCAGUGAACUUGUUAUUAUAUUUCUGAAGUUUCUGUAUGAACAAGAUCCAGUUAAGCAACUGCUGGAUAUAUUAGAAACAGAUUACAAUGUUGAAAUUGAUUUUUCAUCCUGAAAGUUGGAAUCCAAUGUGGUCUACAUCAAGGUCAAAGUGUGCACAUUUUGCAGUUCAUUUAUGUGGUUUACUCCCUAUUGUGUUUUUAUUUUUUCUUUGACUUCGAAAUUUGGUUGUAUUAGUUUCCUCAAGGGAUUGGUAUCUGUGAAUAACGCUAGUUAUUGAUUAUUAAUUUAUAGUUUUAUUCUGA